ensembl:snRNA U6 U6 spliceosomal RNA
GUGCUCACUUGGGCAGCACAUACUAAAACUGCAGCGAUAUGGAGAAGAUUGGCAUGGCCCCGUGCACGGAUGACACGCAUAUGGGUGAAGUGUGUCGUACUUCA